GAUGAACGCUGGCGGCGUGCUUAACACAUGCAAGUCGAACGAAGCAUUUGCGACAGAUUUUUUCGGAAUGAAGUUGCUUAUGACUGAGUGGCGGACGGGUGAGUAACGCGUGGGUAACCUGCCUUGUACUGGGGGAUAGCAGCUGGAAACGGCUGGUAAUACCGCAUAAGCGCACAAUGUUGCAUGACAUGGUGUGAAAAACUCCGGUGGUAUAAGAUGGACCCGCGUCUGAUUAGCUAGUUGGUGAGAUAACAGCCCACCAAGGCGACGAUCAGUAGCCGACCUGAGAGGGUGACCGGCCACAUUGGGACUGAGACACGGCCCAGACUCCUACGGGAGGCAGCAGUGGGGAAUAUUGCACAAUGGAGGAAACUCUGAUGCAGCGACGCCGCGUGAGUGAAGAAGUAAUUCGUUAUGUAAAGCUCUAUCGGCAGGGAAGAUAGUGACGGUACCUGACUAAGAAGCUCCGGCUAAAUACGUG
rnacentral:rRNA from 1 species